rnacentral:rRNA from 1 species
GUAGUCCACGCCGUAAACGAUGUCGACUUGGAGGUUGUGCCCUUGAGGCGUGGCUUCCGGAGCUAACGCGUUAAGUCGACCGCCUGGGGAGUACGGCCGCAAGAUUAAAACUCAAAGGAAUUGACGGGGACCCGCACAAGCGGUGGAUGAUGUGGAUUAAUUCGAUGCAACGCGAAAAACCUUACCUACCCUUGACAUGUACGGAAGCCACGAGAGAUCGAGGUGUGCUCGAAAGAGAGCCGUAACACAGGUGCUGCAUGGCUGUCGUCAGCUCGUGUCGUGAGAUGUUGGGUUAAGUCCCGCAACGAGCGCAACCCUUGUCAUUAGUUGCUACGAAAGGGCACUCUAAUGAGACUGCCGGUGACAAACCGGAGGAAGGUGGGGAUGACGUCAAGUCCUCAUGGCCCUUAUGGGUAGGGCUUCACACGUCAUACAAUGGUACAUACAGAGGGCCGCCAACCCGCGAGGGGGAGCUAAUCCCAGAAAGUGUAUCGUAGUCCGGAUUGUAGUCUGCAACUCGACUGCAUGAAGUUGGAAUCGCUAGUAAUCGCGGAUCAGCAUGUCGCGGUGAAUACGUUCCCGGGUCUUGUACACACCGCCCGUCAC